UACGAAGGGUGCAAGCGUUACUCGGAAUCACUGGGCGUAAAGGGUGCGUAGGCGGUCGGGUAAGUCUGAUGUGAAAUCUCACAGCUUAACUGUGAAACUGCAUUGGAUACUAUCCGGCUAGAGGAAUGGAGGGGAGACUGGAAUACUUGGUGUAGCAGUGAAAUGCGUAGAUAUCGUAAGGAAGACCAGUGGCGAAGGCGGAUCUCUGGACAGUUACUGACACUGAGGCACGAAGGCCAGGGGAGCAAACGGG
rnacentral:rRNA from 1 species